CUUCUCCACCGAUUCAAACCUAAUCGAGGUAUGUGUUCCUCAUCCUUCAUGGGACUGUCGUUUGUGAUUGUAAAUGAAAUAGAGUAACGGUUUUGUUAAUUUUGAAUACGUCUUCCUUGCAUGCUUAGGUAAUAUUUAGCAAUUUACUUGUACAAACGCCUUGAUGCUUGAUGCUUGAUGGUUGAUUUUAGUAAGAAAAUUAGAUGGCCUUCAUGGUUGAUUUCAUUGAGGAUCAUUCGAAUUCCUGUUAUUGAUUCAAAUGAUAAAGUAUUGUGUUUUGAAUACGUCUUCCUUCCUUAUAUAUUGAUUCUUCAUUUCUGGAAAAAAAAUUUGUGUUUUGUUUUCUGUGUAUAUUGUAUCAAGAAUUGCAUAUGAUUAUUUGAUAAUUAUCGUUUCUACGUUACAAAUAGAGUUUCAUCUAUAUAUUGCAACCGAUUAUUUAGAGACUCUCGUUUCUAUUGAGUCUGGUUAUUUAGAGUUAAUGUUAGACUUAGUUCGAUUGAAACCAAAUAAACUUUCAAUUUAAUGAGGUAGUAAAAAGUACAGUUGAUAGGUUUAGUGUUGUUGUUUCUGUAAUAACUUUUGAUAAGACCUUGGUGGUUUAUGGUUAGUCAUAAUGUGGCUUACUUACCACACUUUAAAUUUUGUCUAUUAAACCCCAACCAUACUUCUAUAAUCGACACAAUCUACUCAAGCUAUAAUAUUAUCCCCGUUCUCCAGUACAAUACCUCUUCUCUUUCGUUAUUGGUAUGGCUUCGAACUAUCCAUAUUCACAGUCUUCUAGUUAUAUAGGACUUCUAAACAGCCAAAACCAACCUCCUAACCAUGAAAACUACCCUUAUGGAAGUUUUCAUUCUAGUGUCAACCUAGGAGCAUCAGAAAUCCCCCCAUUCAGUUCCCAACAACCUGAGGUGCCAUCUCAACCAGGAGUCACACCAGUGGAGCGAAGGGAGAGAAAGAAAUGGACGCCUGCUAUGGACGAGGUUCUGAUAAGUGGCUGGCUGAACACAUCUAAGGAUGUGGUUGUUGGAAACGAUCAAAAUGCACGGACUUUCUGGUUACGUGUUGAGGCGUAUUACAAAGCUAGUCUACCGGGUGGUGUGAUGUCAGAGCCUCUCCAUUGUAAGCAGAGGUGGCAUAAGAUCAACGACUUGACGAACAAGUUCUGCGGUGCAUUCGCAGCAGCAGAGAGACAAAUGACUUCUGGACAGAACGACACUGAUCUUCUCAAGUUGGCUCAUCAAAUUUUCUAUGCUGAUCACAAAAUGAAAUUCAAUCUUGAGCAUGCCUGGUGUGUGUUAAGGCAUGAACAGAAAUGGAUUAGCCUUAACACUUGUAAACCCACGGGAAGUUCAAAGAGAAAAUCUGCUGCGGAAAGUUCCCAAGCGAAUGUUGUUGAUAGUGAGACCUGACCUGAAGGUAUCAAGGCUGCUAAAGCUAAAAAGACUAAUGGUCACGGGAGGUCUAUGGCUGAGGUUACCACCAUUUGGGAAAGGAGGAAGGAAUAUUUGGCGAUGAAGGAGAAACUUUCAAAGCUGGCCAUUCUAGACACACUGCUCGCUAGAAAUGAACCCCUUAGUGAGGCUGAAGAAGUGGUAAAGAAUAAGUUUCUAGCCGCUUAUUUCUGAGAACUAUUCCCUAGCUAUGUUUUAAAUUUAAAAAUUAUGUCCUAAGUUAUUUGUUUUAUCUUUAAAUUUCGUUCUAUGUCUUCAACUUGAUGAAUGUACUCCCUGUUUAUGGCAUUUUACUAUCGUUAUUAAUGAAUCAGUUAUGUUAAUCCUGCCUAUGUCUUGUUUACUUCCGCUUAUUUCACUUAUUAAUGAAUCAUUUUGAAAUCCUGUUUUGUGGUUAUGUUAAGCUUGUAUAUGUAUUAACCUUAUCAAUUUUUUUUUGCAGGUUAAGUAAACAUGGGACUUGAUUACAGCUACUCUCAGCCUUCCUCAUCUGAGGCGUACGGUGACAAUGCAGCUGACAGUGGGUUCAGCGAAACAGAAGAGCUUAUUCGUCAGGACCAAGCUGAGCUUGACACACAGCAAACGACGGUUCAGUUCCCUCCUCAACCCGAGGUAGAGUUCGGAUUCCCUCAAACAUGUUACUGCGGUGCGCGUCCACUUCUUGCAACAUCUCUGAGUAGAAACAAUCAAGGGAGAUUAUACUAUACGUGUGCGAAUGUAGAUGAUGGUGAUUGCCAUGUAUGGAAAUGGUGGGACCAAGCUGUAAUGGAGGAGAUGAGAGCCCGAGAUUCUCACACACUUCAGUUGGCUGAGAAGGUUGAUUAUCUUGCCGGUAUGAGUGACUACGGGACAGAGCUUAACCUUCUUAAGGAUCACCAAUACGAGACUGAGCAAAAACUGGUGAGGCUAGAUAAGAUCGUGUCCGACAUAGGUAAUAAGAAAUCAACCUCUUCCUUUGGCUUUGGCUUUCAAUACGUUGUAGGUCUACUCGUGAUUGUGGUAGUCAUAAUAGGCUGCUUAAUGGUUCGUUAGUCAUGGUCUCGUCUAUAUUACAUGAUCUAGGAUGUAUUAUGGAUUAUGUGUAAUGUGUAAUGUUAAGCUUAUGUAAUGACUUUGUACUGAAUUUGUAGCCUUAUGUAAUGACUUAAUUGGCGUUAUGUGUAAUGUAUCAAGUUUGAAUUAUUUAUGUGUAAUGCAUGUGGCUUUUGGUUUGAUCCCGUGACUUACCUAUACUACCGACAUCUCCUUCCUCUCAAUAUGAUCCCGUGACUUUGUACUGACAUCCACCAUCCCCUCUUUGCUAUCCCGUGAGUUUACAGCAGUCAGUAAAUACAAAAAUGCACCACUUCUCAAAUCCUAUAAGUAGAAGUGUGCGUUUAUUUCUUUGAAAAUCACCACUUCUCAAUCUAUUCUCAAAACAAUUUCUCUCUUUUAAAAAUUGUUUAUGGCAUCUUCUUCCCAUUAUCAUUAUCAUAAUGAUGAUGAUGAUGAUAAUGAAUUUGAAACUCUAGUUGAAGAAUGCUUUCAAAUCCCUGAUAAUAUUCCCGAACCAAAAGAGAGAAAAAAACGCAUUUAUAUCGAGAGAAACCGGGAAAAAGGUCACAUUCAGCUUUGGAAUAAUUACUUUUCUGAAACUCCAACAUAUCCUCCUAAUAUUUUCCGUCGGCGAUUUCGAAUGACCAAACCAUUGUUCUUGCGUAUUGUGCAUCGUCUCGCUACAGAAGUAGAGUAUUUUUAACAAUGCGAAGAUGCUGUCGGACGGGCUAGUCUAUCUCUGCUCCAAAAAUGUACCGCUGCAAUUCGUCAAUUGGCGUAUGGUGGUGGGUCUGAUACAGUUGACGAGUAUGUACGAAUUGGUGAAACUACAGCUCGGAAAUGUUUGUAUCAAUUUACUGCCGGAAUUGUCCAGUUGUUUGGCGAUGAAUAUCUUAGACGUCCCACCCCGGAGGAUCUGGAAAGACUACUCCAUAUUGGAGAAGAACGUGGAUUUCCAGGGAUGGUUGGAAGCAUCGAUUGCAUGCAUUUGCAGUGGAAGAAUUGCCCCACCGCUUGGAAAGGUAUGUAUUCACGAGGAACCGGAAAACCAACAAUUGUGUUGGAGGCGGUAGCUUCACAUGACCUCUGGAUAUGGCACGCGUUUUUUGGAGCUCCAGGUACUAUGAACGAUCUUAAUAUUCUUGACCGUUCACCUGUUUUUGAUGAAAUUAUAAACGGAAACGCUCUGGAAGUCAAUUUCUAUGUCAACGGAACUGAUUACCAUUUGGGUUACUAUCUGGCGGAUGGUAUUUAUCUCAAAUGGGCUACUUUUAUUCAAUCUAUCUGACUCCUGCAAGGUCCAAAAAAUAGUUUAUUUGCUAAAAAACAAGAAGCCGUGCGAAUAGAUGUUGAGCGCGCCUUCGGAGUUCUGCAAGCAAGAUUCGCAGUUGUUAGAAAUCCAUCUAAUUUAUGGGAUAAAAAUAAAAUAGAAAAUAUUAUGAAAGCAUGUAUAAUACUUCAUAAUAUGAUUGUCGAAAAUGAACGAGGUUCAUACACUCAGCACGCUUCAGAAUUUCAACAAGGACAAGAUGUGGAUCCUACAUUUGUAGUCAGGAGGAGUACAAAUCUCGGUACUAUAUUGGGUCGUCGAGCAUAAGUUCGGGAUAAACAAAGCCAUCAACAAUUAAAAAAAGAUUUGAUUGAAAAUAUAUGGGAUAAAUUUGGAAAUCUCCUGAAUAACUACAAUGUUUAGAAAAAUUUGGACGGAAAAAUAACUAAAUAAAAUGUAUGUUCCUGUUUUUUUCAUGUUUGUAAUUUUUUUUCCAACUUUGUAAUUUUCUCAUAUUUUCAGUUUUAAUAAUGUUUUAUAUGUUUUAUUUUAAAUUUUCCUUUUAUAUGUCAUUACUUACUUAAAUAAAUAAUUAUUUAGCUAAGAAACUUUAGAAAGUCCUACCAAUAAUCUAAUUAUUGACAAUUGUCCUUAACUAUUGUCCUUAACCACAAAAUCUAACCUAUACUAAAAGGAGGAUAUAUUGAUCAGAGAGGAUGUCCACGUCGGACAAUAAAAUCUACCAAUCAGGGAUCACUUUCAUGCCAUGUCACUUAAUUAUUGUGUCCAAUUGAACUGGACGAAAAUACGUGGAAUUAUCGACUCUUCACCUUCAUCGUCUCCACAAUUGUUAUCAUUCUGCCGUCUGUAGUUAACUUCACCUCCACCUUUUUACAUUUACUUCUUUUUAUUAAUCUUUGCAACGGCAAAGACGUUUACAAUCCGACUCCACUCCUUUCUCUCUUUAAAUAAACUUUUUCGCUCAAACAUAGCUUCAACCACACCAAACAAUGGCUAUGAAAUCUGAGAACCCCGACGGCGAGGCUCCGCUGAACUAACAAAAUAAGAUGACAUCCCCUGAAAUUGCAACCACCUACUAUCAGGGCCAAAUCUAUAGCAGCAAGGAUGCUAUCGGAGCUGUGAUUAAAGAUCUGGGUUGAAUGGUAAGCUUAAAUCAUAGAUUAGGGUUCCAAAUCUAUGUUAGUUAGGUGACUUGAGGUUCAAUAUUUUGGACUCUGCUGGUAUUGAGACCGAAGUUUCUUUUUUUUUUUUUAGACCGAAGUUUCUUCUGGUACUAUUCUUGGGAGAACCACAUCUAUGACUGCUAAUGUUCUUGCAAGGACUCAGUUUGCAGUUCUUAUUAUCGACGUUCUAACCUAUACUAAAAGGAGGAUAUAUUGAUCAGAGAGGAUGUCCACGUCGGACAAUAAAAUCUACCAAUCAGGGAUCACUUUCAUGCCAUGUCACUUAAUUAUUGUGUCCAAUUGAACUGGACGAAAAUACGUGGAAUUAUCGACUCUUCACCUUCAUCGUCUCCACAAUUGUUAUCAUUCUGCCGUCUGUAGUUAACUUCACCUCCACCUUUUUACAUUUACUUCUUUUUAUUAAUCUUUGCAACGGCAAAGACGUUUACAAUCCGACUCCACUCCUUUCUCUCUUUAAAUAAACUUUUUCGCUCAAACAUAGCUUCAACCACAACAAACAAUGGCUAUGAAAUCUGAGAACCCCGACGGCGAGGCUCCGCUGAACUAACAAAAUAAGAUGACAUCCCCUGAAAUUGCAACCACCUACUAUCAGGGCCAAAUCUAUAGCAGCAAGGAUGCUAUCGGAGCUGUGAUUAAAGAUCUGGGUUGAAUGGUAAGCUUAAAUCAUAGAUUAGGGUUCCAAAUCUAUGUUAGUUAGGUGACUUGAGGUUCAAUAUUUUGGACUCUGCUGGUAUUGAGACCGAAGUUUCUUUUUUUUUUUUUAGACCGAAGUUUCUUCUGGUACUAUUCUUGGGAGAACCACAUCUAUGACUGCUAAUGUUCUUGCAAGGACUCAGUUUGCAGUUCUUAUUAUCGACGUGAGGUGAGAGUUUUUUUUUACUCUCAAGUUGCAAUCGACUAAGCUGUUGUUAGUGCUUUAUUCAUAUUCUUGUGUUCAUGUUUUUUUGUAGUGUGGGUUUGCAUCCGUUGGAUUUGGAAGUUGGUAAAUGGCUGAGCAAGCAUGCGCCACAAAUUAAGCCUAUAGUAGUGAUGAACAAAUCGGAGUCUAUUGGUGAAUCUCUUGCUGAAGUUGCUUAUGAGGCUCUUGCGCUUGGAUUCGGUGAGCCUACUGCUAUCUCGGCUGAGACAGGACUUGGGAUGACAGCACUUAAUGAAGUUCUCCAUCCUUUACUAGAGGAUUACAUGGUCCAAACCUUAAACGGAAAUAAAACUGUGUCAAGAAUCACUUGACUAGAAGAAGGUGCUUCUUUGUUUUCUCUCUUUAGUGAUGAACUUUAUAGUCGUAUAUUCAGAUAGAUGUACUCAAGAUGAUGUUCCAAGUGAUGAGAACCUCUCUGAAGAAGAUGAGUCCAAGUUGCCAUUGCAGUUAGCUAUUGUGGGUAGGCCUAACGUUGGGAAAUCAACAUUGCUAAAUGCAUUGUUGGAAGAAGAGCGUGUGUUGGUGGGUCCAGAAGCUGGUCUCACUAGAGAUGCUGUGAGAGUUCAAUACGAGUUUCAGGGCAGGACUGUCUAUAUGGUUGACACUGCUGGUUGGUUAGAGAGAACAGAGCGAGACAAAGGACCAGCGUCUUUAAGUAUCAUGCAGUCAAGAAAGAGUCUGAUGCGUGCACAUAUUGUCGCUUUAGUUCUCGAUGCUGAAGAGGUUCUGUCAUAUUCAAACAUAGUUGCCUUCUUUCUGUUGCAAAACUAAAGCGAUGACAUGUUUUUUGUUCCAGAUCAUAAAAUCUCAACGCAGUAUGGCACAUUCAGAAGUAGUUAUAGCUAAACGGGCUGUAGAAGAAGGACGUGGUUUAGUCGUUAUCGUUAACAAAAUGGAUUGUCUAGGAGGGAAACAAAACUCUGAGAUGUACAAGAAAAUCAAAGAAGCUGUUCCCAUUGAAGUUCAGGCAGUUAUUCCACAGGUUAUCUGAUCUGUCAUUACUCCUUAGUAAUAAUUGAAAGAAAGAAACCGAUCUUUUGUGAACUCUUGAGGUUCUUGAGCGAUGAGAAACAUAAUGUUUUGGUUACAGAUUACAGGAAUACCUGUUGUGUUCACCUCUGCAUUAGAGGGAAGAGGACGUUUACAAGUAAUGAACGAAGUCAAUGGCACAUACACGAGAUGGUGCUCUAGACUUUCAUUGGUCGCCUCAACCGCUGGUUAAUUAAGGAUGAUGGAAUCACAAAGAUAUUAUAUCAAUCAUUAAUAUCCUGUUAAAUAAUUGUAACUUACAUAUCCCAUAGAAAUUCAUAGUCUAUUAACAUUAGAAAUGAGAAACUCGAGUUUGAACUAAUAUGUGAAAUCAUAUUUACCUUCCCCAAUACUAAGGUUGGGUACUUUAUCCGAUAUCCAAAACCGCAUUCGAAUUUGAUCCAAAAACUCGAACCGGAAUCCAAAUUGAAGUAAUAAAAUACCCGAAUGGAUAUUGAGUUAGGAAAGAUUAGAUACCAAAAUCCAAACGGAUAAUAUCCGAACCCGAAUGGAUAUCCAAAGAUUAUCAAAGAUAUGUAUACUUAACCUUAUAUUUUUAGUUUAUUUCUUUUAUUUUAUUCAAAAUAAUUAUAUUAAUGCUACAUAUAAGUUUAUAUCAGAUAAUCCCACUAUAUAAAAGCUACUAAUUUUGGAUGUUAUAAAGGAUGCCACAUAGGCAAAAUAUUCUCAGCCAUUCAUUCUGCCACGUCACUGGUAACCCAGACCAACAAAUCGUAAUUGCAGCCCAGCCCGUUAACCGGUUUCGCUCACGAAAUUGCUGUCUCCGUCUCUUUGCUGUUGGGCCAGAUUAAAAAAUUUUCCAGCCCAUUCCAUUACUUAUUUCAACUGUCAAACUAUUUUCUUUUGCAUUUUCUAUUAUUUCAGACAAUUUUUUAUUUCAACUGUUUUCUAUAACAAUGUGCAAACCGCCUAAGUUCCCUUUGAUCUUAAAAUAGUACGCCCAAGAUAACAAAAUCCCCUCAUUUCACACACAGUCCCUGUAAAUUUCUAUAAAAAAAACUAAAUUCUACUAUCAAACCCACCCAACAAAUUUACUACUACCACCUAUAAUUAUGGCCCGGCCUACUUAAACUUUAAAAAAAACCAUGACAAUACUUAAAAAAAACACACCCUAACUAUGUUCACUUCAAAAAAAAAAAUUUAAACAAAAUUGCCAAAAAAAUACUAAUUCUCAUUCUUAUCUAUGUAGCACAUGCACCACAAGAUCAAAGCAAUUAGGACAACACUCUCGAACCUCAUCCAAUAAUCGUUAGGAUCCUUAGGGUCUGGCCCAUCACAAAUCACAAAAAUAAAGAUGCUUUCCUAGGGACAACUUUCAUAUGUCUUGACAUCCAGGUUUGUCUAAAAUUCAUAUUUUUAAUUAUUCCAACUAUAUUUCAAAUGAUUGCUUCUAACCACUAAACAGGAACAAAAAAUAGAGGGGAAGGUACCUAUUUCUACGUCUGACACAAUGUACCAACGCUUCGAAGAAGGGAAAAUUUAUCACAUUAGAUAUUUUAAUCUCCUCCCCAAUAACCAACGUUACAGGCUUACCGAUCAACCAUACAUAAUCAAUAUCAAAGAAACAACAACUAUUACACUGAUUCAAGAAAACAUUGCACCGAUUCCUUCAUACAUAUUCCGGCCACAACGCUACACCCAGUUGAUCAGCUUAGCAAGUGAAACCAACUUCCUACCAGAUGUUGUUGGCCGCAUUUGCCUCAUCCAAGGAAGUGAUUUAUAUAACCACUACACAGAUUCAAAAAUCAUCAUUGGAUUACGUUUAGACAGAUCGAAAUUGGUACGUCUAACUUUAUGGGACAAGGAGGCAUCUAAUUUCAGGGAGUUAAAUCGCAUAUCAACAAGGAAAAAACAAGUCGUAAUCAUCACAAGUAUCAUUCCACGGAUACAUGAAG